rnacentral:rRNA from 1 species
GUUUAUGACCAUGCUACCCUGAACAAGCCCAAUCCUGUCUGAUCUCGGAAGCUAAGCAGGGUCGGACCUGGUUGGUUAGUACUUGGAUGGGAGACCACCUAGGAAGACCUAGGUGCUGUAAGCG